rnacentral:lncRNA from 1 species
GGACGGGGCCUCUUUGUUCCGCGCGCCCGGGCGGAUACUGCACCGCGCGUUUGUGCUCCGGCCUUUGUCCGCCGCCAUCGCGGAAGGCGUCUACGCCUCGGGUAAGUGGGCGGACUGCGCUGCAGCCACACCGGUCACCCUGAAGACGUGCACGCUUCCUGUGUUUCGGCCGACGGAGACGAUUCUUCGUUGAGUACUUGUACGCGAGCACUGCGCUGUGUGCGACGGUGCCACCUGUGGCAGUGUCUUGUGGGAGCGGUCUGCCGCGCGUCCCUUCACGACUGCUUCGGCUCCAGUCACUUCGUUUGGCUACAGAUGCGGCCGGUCAGGACUGAGGAUGGUAGCACAAGAGGUUCGGCAGCCGACGGACGUGUGACACCCCGGGCUAAGUACUAGCGCCGUAGGAGUGGGAUUUCGGGCUACUCCUGCAGCCUUGGUGCUUACCCCGGGGGCGUCACGGGCCAGCACUACCGUCGCAACACCCACCUCCCCCUCGGGAGGGCACAUCAUCGUUUCUCUAAUAAAAUUCAGUAAACACAU